rnacentral:rRNA from 1 species
GACGAACGCUGGCGGCGUGCUUAACACAUGCAAGUCGAACGGAAAGGCCUGCUUUCCCUUGUGGAUUGCGGGUACUCGAGUGGCGAACGGGUGAGUAACACGUGAGUGAUCUGCCCCCAACUUGGGUAUAAGCCUGGGAAACUGGGUCUAAUUCCCGAUAGGACUGCAGGGUGGUGCCUGUGGUGGAAAACGAUUUUCUAGUGGUUGGGGAUGAGCUCGCGGCCUAUCAGCUUGUUGGUGGGGUAAUGGCCUACCAAGGCGGCGACGGGUAGCCGGCCUGAGAGGGUGGACGGCCACAUUGGGACUGAGAUUCGGCCCAGACUCCUACGGGAGGCAGCAGUGGGGAAUAUUGCACAAUGGGCGGAAGCCUGAUGCAGCGACGCCGCGUGGGGGAUGACGGCCUUCGGGUUGUAAACUCCUUUCGACCGCGAGGAAGCCACCUGGUUGGAAGGGUGGUGACGGUAGUGGUAGAAGAAGCACCGGCUAACUACGUG